AGUGGCAGACGGGUGAGUAAUGUAUAGGAAUCUACCUAGUAGUACGGAAUAAUUGUUGGAAACGGCAACUAAUACCGUAUACGCCCUACGGGGGAAAAAUUUAUUGCUAUUAGAUGAGCCUAUAUUAGAUUAGUUAGUUGGUGAGGUAAAGGCUUACCAAGACAAUGAUCUAUAGCUGAUCUGAGAGGAUGAUCAGCCACACUGGAACUGAGAUACGGUCCAGACUCCUACGGGAGGCAGCAGUGGGGAAUAUUGGACAAUGGGCGAAAGCCUGAUCCAGCCAUGCCGCAUGAGUGAAGAAGGCCUUCGGGUUGUAAAGCUCUUUUAGUGAGGAAGAUAAUGACGGUACUCACAGAAGAAGUCCUGGCUAACUCCGUGCCAGCAGCCGCGGUAAUACGGAGAGGGCUAGCGUUAUUCGGAAUCAUUGGGCGUAAAGGGCGCGUAGGCGGGUUAGUAAGUUAAAAGUGAAAUCCCAAGGCUCAACCUUGGAACUGCUUUUAAAACUGCUAGUCUAGAGAUUGAAAGAGGAUAGAGGAAUUCCUAGUGUAGAGAUGAAAUUCGUAAAUAUUAGGAGGAACACCAGUGGCGAANGCGUCUAUCUGGUUCAAAUCUGACGCUGAGGCGCGAAGGCGUGGGGAGCAAACAGGAUUAGAUACCCUGGUAGUCCACGCUGUAAACGAUGAAUGUUAAAUAUGGGAAGUUUACUUUCUGUAUUAUAGCUAACGCGUUAAACAUUCCGCCUGGGGACUACGGUCGCAAGAUUAAAACUCAAAGGAAUUGACGGGGACCCGCACAAGCGGUGGANCAUGUGGUUUAAUUCGAUGCAAC
rnacentral:rRNA from 1 species